rnacentral:rRNA from 1 species
AUGGUGUUCAGCAAGGUCGAAGUGAACCUGAGAAGGCUGCUUCAGGAGGCUCCUCAGCAGCAGAAUCAGGCCAAGCUUGCCCAUUACAUAUCCACAGCCAGGGAGCUAUUGGAGCAGCUUGGAGCAGAAAUUACAACUGAAGGAGUACCAAGAGUUUCGAAAGCUAAGCUCAGUGAGUAUUCAGAAAAGAUUGAGGCGCUAGCUGCCACAUUUUCUGCUCCAGUGACAGAAAAUGACGAUCCAGUUGAUGAGAUCAAAGAAGAAAGCUCUUUGGAAAGAGAAAAGGUUGAAGGUCCAAUAUCCUUAUCAGCAGUAUUGAGAAGGAGAUCAACGGCUCAGGUGGAAGCUGGUACAAGCAAUAAUGAGAGGAAAGAGAGGGACACUGGAGCACCUAUUAAAUUGGAUUCAGAAGCUCAGGCUCACAUUGAGAAGCAUAGGAACCUGCAAGACAGUCUGAUAGACGAAAUGGUUGACUUAGCACGCCAGCUGAAGGAAAGUAGCCUUGUAGUGAACCAAUCCGUGCAAGAUACAGUGAAGAUCCUUGAUUCCACUGAGAGAGCCAUGGAGCAUAGCUUGGCAAGCACCGGGAGCGCAACGGCGCGAGCCUCUGAGGUCUACUCGCUGGCCUCCAAGACAACCUGCUUCCAGUGGUUGCUCAUCUUUCUGAUGACCUGCAUGUUCGUCAUGGUGGUUAUGCUCAUACGGGUCACCUGA